rnacentral:rRNA from 1 species
GGCGGCGUGCCUAAUACAUGCAAGUCGAGCGAGCUUGCCUAGAUGAAUUUGGUGCUUGCACCAAAUGAAACUAGAUACAAGCGAGCGGCGGACGGGUGAGUAACACGUGGGUAACCUGCCCAAGAGACUGGGAUAACACCUGGAAACAGAUGCUAAUACCGGAUAACGACACUAGACGCAUGUCUAGAGUUUAAAAGAUGGUUCUGCUAUCACUCUUGGAUGGACCUGCGGUGCAUUAGCUAGUUGGUAAGGUAACGGCUUACCAAGGCAAUGAUGCAUAGCCGAGUUGAGAGACUGAUCGGCCACAUUGGGACUGAGACACGGCCCAAACUCCUACGGGAGGCAGCAGUAGGGAAUCUUCCACAAUGGACGCAAGUCUGAUGGAGCAACGCCGCGUGAGUGAAGAAGGGUUUCGGCUCGUAAAGCUCUGUUGGUAGUGAAGAAAGAUAGAGGUAG